rnacentral:rRNA from 1 species
CCUACGGGAGGCAGCAGUGGGGAAUAUUGGGCAAUGGAGGAAACUCUGACCCAGCAACGCCGCGUGAAUGAUGAAGGUCUUCGGAUUGUAAAGUUCUUUUCUAAGGGAAGAAGAAAGUGACGGUACCUUAGGAAUAAGCCUCGGCUAACUACGUGCCAGCAGCCGCGGUAAUACGUAGGAGGCAAGCGUUAUCCGGAAUGACUGGGCGUAAAGGGUGCGUAGGUGGUUCAGCAAGUUAGUAGCGUAAUUCCGGAGCUCAACUUCGGCACUACUACUAAAACUGUUGGACUUGAGUGCAGGAGGGGCAACUGGAAUUUCUAGUGUAGCGGUGGAAUGCGUAGAUAUUAGGAGGAACACCGGUGGCGAAGGCGGCCUGCUGGACUGUGACUGACGUUGAGGCCCGAAGGCGUGGGGAGCAAACAGGAUUAGAUACCCGUGUAGUC